UUGGCAGCCCAAAUAAUUCCCCAAAAGUAUGUUCUCCAUCCAGAUCUAAGAUCCAAACUUCAAAAAACACCAAAAUAGUAGAAAACUAAAAAUUCUUCCAUUGAAAGCUCUUUGUUCCAGCUUGUUUACUUUUGAAACAGCAUAAGUUUUCUCUUAAGUUUUCAUUCAGUUGAGAUUCAGCAGCUUUCGACGUCCUUUGGGUCGUAUCUGGUUUGAUUCAAGUUUGGUUGAUUGGUUGUUUUCUAGAAUUAUUAAUUACUGGUUUGUUUUUAAGUAGGUGGUGUCAUUUUGGUUUAAAAUUGCAUUGGCUUUCAAUAUCAAAUUCUCUUGUUGCUUAUGAGUUGAUCCCUGCUGAUUUGUAUCCAAUUUGUUGCUGCUGUUACGUCUACUGUUGCUGACUGCUCCUAUUUCUCAUUGUAUUUCGAAUUCCAGGUACAUGUUUUGACCUCACCUAUGAUGCAUUUUCCAUUAAAAUGGAAUGAAUUGACGAUUCAAGGCUAUUCUCACUGCUAUUGAUUAGGGAUGCAAUCAGUUUGGAAUUAUGCAAUGAUUUAAAUUUUGAAUCUGAACUAACAGUUUGCUACUCGAACAUGUACUACAUCGUUCAAUUUUGCUAUUUCAUGGACUGUUAGUUUGGUUUAUUUAAUUAGUGGCGGUAAUUGGAUUCAAUAUUGUUGUUAGUAUAUCGUGGGUUGAGGUGAUGUAUUUUCCUCUAUUUUAGCACAGUUCAAAAGUAAUCCAUGUUUUAAUGAUAGUUUCAGCUUGUUUUAGUCAGGGAACGUGUAUUCGAUUUACCUUAACGUAUAAUUAGAAUGCUAUAGGACUGUUAUGGUUAUUCCUUAGGUUUGUUUGAAUUUUAUUUUAGUAGAAGAACACACCCUAGCUCUGUUAAUUCCGGUUAGGGUGUGCGAUUUUUUUUUUUUCUGAAAAUUUUUAGUCUAAUUUCUAAACUACCCUGUAAGGUGCCACCAAUUAAAACCUAUGGAGAUAUUGUCUUUCUUUUUUUUUUUACCACAAAUAGGUGAAAUACUAAUAAGGGAGACAAUAUCGCCGGAGUUGUUACCCAUAUGACAUAACCGGUCUAACCUUACCUUAUUCAUCCUAUUAUGAUUAUAUUACAGAAAAUAAAACUAAUGUGAUGGAAAAUUAAAAGGUUUAAAUAUGGCUUCAACCUUCACAUUUUGUUACUCGAUCGAUUGGGCUUUGAAAAAGAUGUUUGCGCGACGUGUUUUAGUUUUGCAUUUCUCAUUGGGGGUCUCCUUAUGAUCUGGCUAUUCAUUGCAUCCAACUUUUCCUUCUCCUCAAAAGUAGUGAUUGAGUUUAUUUGAACAAUAUGAUUCUGUGCAACUGUUGGUAGCGGCGUUGCAAUUCGAUUAGCAACUGAAGUCUCGCCUGGAUUUAUAGAAAUUCUUGCAAAAAGUACUGGAGCAUUAUGGUUCAAGUUGCUACUGAGUUUGCUGGUUGUUUUAAAUUUGCAGGACACUUGAUUGUCACUGAUUUUCUUUGACAUUUUGGCUUAAGCUGAACGUCAAUGUCCUCUCCUUCACUGUCGUCAUCAAAAUCUUGGUUGUCAUCUGAAUAUGAAAAACCUGCUAAUCCUCCCCAGCCCUCAUCGUCGUCAUACUCUCAUUGGUCUUUCCACAGCUUUGAUUUAACGACCAUGUUUCUCAUUUUAGCUUGAACCAAUUGUUUGUUGUUUUCAUUGGAGGUUGAUGGAUAUCCCUAUUUUUUACUAAGUGUCACCUCUUGUGUACUAGAUGACGGAUUUGUUGAAGAAAUAUGAUCCUCGGCCAUUGAACUCUUGUCCACGAUCUGCCUUUUGUUUUUGGAUUUUGGAGUUGCUAUUCUGUUGGAAAUGGCAGAACAGUUCUUUGUAGUGUGAUGUGCAGUUUUUGUUGUAUGAUGAGAAGUAUCCUUAGGCUCUAAAACCAUAACACUUUGAAACGAGGCUUCAUGAUAAACUGCAGUUGCUGCCUUUGUCGAAGAAAUGUUGCUGCCUUGUUGAACCAUAUCAGAUUGCCGAGAGAAAUCUUGACAAUAUGUGGUCUGCACAGCCUCAUCUUCUGAAGGACUUGCUGAAAUUUGAACUAAUGGACUCACAGAUUCAAGAUUACCAUUCCUAGAUAUGUUUCGAACAGCUUGAGAUCGCAAAGGAGAAAUAUGAUCUAGUUCUGAGUAAAUGCACA
rnacentral:lncRNA from 1 species